rnacentral:rRNA from 1 species
AGAGUUUGAUCAUGGCUCAGGAUGAACGCUAGCGGCAGGCUUAAUACAUGCAAGUCGAGGGGCAGCAUGGGUGUAGCAAUACAUCUGAUGGCGACCGGCAAACGGGUGCGGAACACGUACAGAACCUUCCUUCGAGCGGGGGGAUAGCCCAGAGAAAUUUGGAUUAAUACCCCAUAGUAUAUUGAAGAGGCAUCUCUUUAAUAUUAAAGAUUUAUCACUUGAAGAUGGCUGUGCGGCUGAUUAGGUAGUUGGCGGGGUAAUGGCCCACCAAGCCUGCGAUCAGUAACUGGUGUGAGAGCACGACCAGUCACACGGGCACUGAGACACGGGCCCGACUCCUACGGGAGGCAGCAGUAAGGAAUAUUGGGCAAUGGAGGCAACUCUGACCCAGCCAUGCCGCGUGGAGGAUGAAGGCCCUCUGGGUUGUAAACUUCUUUUAUAUGGGACGAAAAAGGGCUUUUCUAGGUCAACUGACGGUACCAUAUGAAUAAGCACCGGCUAACUCCGUGCCAGCAGCCGCGGUAAUACGGAGGGUGCAAGCGUUAUCCGGAUUCACUGGGUUUAAAGGGUGCGUAGGUGGGUUGGUAAGUCAGUGGUGAAAUCUCCGGGCUUAACCCGGAAACUGCCAUUGAUACUAUCAGUCUUGAAUAUUGUGGAGGUCAGCGGAAUAUGUCAUGUAGCGGUGAAAUGCUUAGAUAUGACAUAGAACACCAAUUGCGAAGGCAGCUGGCUACUCAUAUAUUGACACUGAGGCACGAAAGCGUGGGGAUCAAACAGGAUUAGAUACCCUAGUAGUCC